rnacentral:rRNA from 1 species
GACGGAGGGGGCUAGCGUUGUUCGGAAUUACUGGGCGUAAAGCGCGCGUAGGCGGACCUGCAAGUCGGGGGUGAAAGCCCGAGGCUCAACCUCGGAACUGCCUUCGAUACUGCGGGUCUCGAGUCCGGGAGAGGUGAGUGGAAUUCCUAGUGUAGAGGUGAAAUUCGUAGAUAUUAGGAAGAACACCAGUGGCGAAGGCGGCCCCCUGGCCCGGUACUGACGCUGAGGCGCGAACGCGUGGGGAGCACACAGG